rnacentral:lncRNA from 1 species
GGAUUCGAACUAGAGGAUUGGAAGCUGAAGAGUUGAUCAUAGAGAGUAAAAAUUUAAUUAGAUAGUUGUACUUGUAAUAGUUUGUUCUAGGGACUUUAAAAAUAAACAAAAGGCUCCCACUCAUUUUUCGAGUCUCUCACACUCCUCAAGUGGAGAAACAGAAACCCAAACGUGAUAAAGAGUUCUAGUGGGUGUGGCGGUCCUAUCG